rnacentral:rRNA from 1 species
GGAGGUGCGGGGUGCUUACCAUGCAGUCGACGAUGAAGUUCCUUCGGGGAUGGAUUAGUGGCGAACGGGUGAGGAACACGUGAACAAUCUGCCCCUUACACGGGAAUAACUUCGGGAAACCGAAGCUAAUACCCGAUAUUGAAUCCGGUAGGCAUCUACUGGAUUUGAAAUGGUCCGCCGGUAAGGGAUGAGUUCGCGGCCUAUCAGCUUGUUGGUGAGGUAAUGGCUCACCAAGGCGACGACGGGUAGCCGGCCUGAGAGGGCGACCGGCCACACUGGGACUGAGACACGGCCCAGACUCCUACGGGAGGCAGCAGUGGGGAAUAUUGCGCAAUGGACGAAAGUCUGACGCAGCAACGCCGCGUGAGGGAUGACGGCCUUCGGGUUGUAAACCUCUUUCAAUCGGGACGAAGCGAAAGUGACGGUACCGAUACAAGAAGCACCGGCUAACUAUGUGCCAGCAGCCGCGGUAAUACAUAGGGUGCAAGCGUUGUCCGGGAUUUAUUGGGCGUAAAGAGCUCGUAGGCGGUUCAUCACGUCGGAUGUGAAAACUUGGGGCUUAACCCCAAGCCUGCAUCCGAUACGGGUGAACUAGAGAGCAGUAGGGGAGAUUGGAAUUCCUGGUGUAGCGGUGGAAUGCGCAGAUAUCAGGAGGAACACCAGUGGCGAAGCGGAUCUCUGGGCUGUAUCUGACGCUGAGAGCGAAAGCGGUGGGGAGCAAACAGGAUUAGAUACCCUGUAGUCCACCGCUGUAAACGGUGGGGCGCUAGUGUGGGGACUUCACGUCUUUCUGGCGACGUCGCUACGCAUUAGCGCCCCGCCUGGGGGGAGUACGCGCAGCUAAACUCAAGUAUGACGGGCCGCACAAGCGGCGGAGCAUGCGGCUUUAUUUCGAUUGCCACGGCGAAAAACU